GCCUGGGUGGCUCAGUGGUUGAGCGUCUGCCUUUGGUGCAGGGCAUGAUCCCAGAGUCCUGGGAUUGAGUCCCACUUCGAGCU
rnacentral:tRNA from 1 species